UACAGGUUCCAUACGAUCAUCAAAGUUAAGCAACGUUGAGCCUGGUCAGUACCUAGAUGGGUGACUGCUUGGGAAUACAAGGUGCUGUAAG